CUAAUUGACUAGAUACAGACGAGAGUUGGUCUAGUGAGUUAGAGAAUUUAGAUCAAACAUGUCUGUAAAGCUCUCUGGAAGAAGUAUCGAUCGACGCAACGAUAGCCCUGUCGAUCGAUAUUUUGAAAGGUGUAUCGAUCGAUAUUCGUAACGAAUAAUCGAUCGACACUUUCUCGUGAUUAACAUACGAGAGUUGGAAUCCGAGAUUCAGAUUAGAUAAUCAGAUUGAUUAUAUAUACAGUUUGAAUUCAAGAAUGAUUAACAUCAAUAAACCCCUAAAAACCCAAAUUAAGUUUUACUUAUCAUACCU
rnacentral:lncRNA from 1 species